ensembl:snRNA U5 U5 spliceosomal RNA
AUUCCCGAUCACCUUACCACCUUCCAAGUGUUUGCAGAUGAUUUCUUGGAUCGUGUAAAUCUUUUGCCUUUUACUAACGAUUUCCAUGGAGAGGCGCGUUUAGGAGUUUCUAUCCAAUUUUUUGAGGCUUCACUUCAGUAAGGCU